rnacentral:lncRNA from 1 species
CCUCACUAUAUAAUGAGUUGAAAAUUGAGUAUUUGUGACUUGUGAGUGCAUAAAGAUAUGGGACAAACUGGUAAGUUGAUUGCUCAAAUUGAGUUCAAGCAUGGAGGAGAUGUAUUUCAUGAACUCUUUAAACACAAACCGCACCACAUAUCCAACAUGACACCUCAUUUAGUACAAGGUUGUGAUCUCCACGAAGGGGAAUUUGGAAAGGUUGGCUCCAAAAUCUGCUGGACGUACACUCAUGGUAUGUCUAUUGGUCGUAAAUGUAUAUACAUCUAUGAACCUAAUUUGAGCUUUUUUUUAUCAUUUAUAUCUUUUUCCAUUUUUUAUGUCGCGAUAAAUUUUUGAUCGACUACGUGAAUCCAUUUUUAUCAUCCCAAGCAAUUCGUUUGUAGAGCUACUAAGAGAUUUACGCAUGUCAUAUUGAUUUUGGUAAGUUUUUUUUAUCUUUUAACUUGUUUUAUACAAUUGUGUUGCCCUUCUAACCUUUUUUUUUUUUUUUUGGUCAACCAUAAGUAUAUACAUUCAACUCUAUCCAAAAGGAUAGACUAUGUUAUAUUUAUCCUUAAAUUUAUCGAAAGAUCUAAAGUAACUAGAUCAUUAACAAUUAUAAUAUGACGUGUUUGACUUAGUUGACCGCCCUUUCUUUUGAUUUGGUUUACUGAGGUCGUAUCACUCUCAGAAAGAACAUUUUCUACAUCAACCCUUAACUAUAUUUAGCUCUAUCAAUUAUGAGUUUACAAUUGAAGAGAUUAAUUUGUGUGAAUGAUAGAUGGAAAGGUAAGGAAAGCAAAACAGUUGAUUGAAGCCAUUGAGGAGGAAAAUAAAUUAAUCAAACUUAAGCUGCUUGAAGGAGAUGUGAUGGAGGAGUACAAGGACUUCAUUGUAACUAUUCAUGUUGAAACCAAGGGUAACAUAGAUAUGGUCUCAUGGACUUUGGAGUAUGAGAUGCGGAAUGAAGACGUUUCACAUCCAAUUUCUUUGCUGGCUUACUUCAUUGAACUCACAAAAGAAAUUGAGGCUAAUUAUUGAAUAUAAGCUUUUCUAUAUUGUGUACUCCAAUAAAAUGUGUGUGUGUUUGCACACGUGUGGUUGUGCCUGCAGUGUGUAAUUACGUGUUGCUUUUAAAAGUUUGUGAUAUAGCUAAUUAUGUAUUGGUCUAUCGGUAAGAAAAUAUUGGACAAUGUCUUGUCUUGUUCAAUACUUCUAGUCGACAUGUAUGCACUAUGUAUUUUAUGUUUAAAUUGAUAAGUUAUGUUUUUUAGAUAAUCUAUCAGCGAUCUAGUUGACGUAACCAUAAUAUAGCUC